rnacentral:rRNA from 1 species
CAAUUUUAUUGAGAGUUUGAUCCUGGCUCAGGAUUAACGCUGGCGGCAUGCCUAAUACAUGCAAGUCGAACGAAAGUAGCAAUCUUUAGUGGCG